rnacentral:rRNA from 1 species
CACAUAAGACCAGAAGACCCUGUGAAGCUUAUACUACCCUAUUAAACCUAAUAAUAGCUACUUUCGGUUGGGGCGACCUUGGAAAAAAAANGAACUUCCAAAUCAUGACCUUACCACCCCAGGCCUACAAGCCACAAACGACCCAUCAUAGCUGAUAAUUGAACCAAGUUACUCCAGGGAUAACAGCGCAAUCCUCUUCAAGAGCCCAUAUCAAAAAGAGGGUUUACGACCUCGAUGUUGGAUCAGGACAUCCUGAUGGUGCAGCCGCUAUUAAGGGUUCGUUUGUUCAACGAUUAACGUCCCACGUGAUCUG